rnacentral:rRNA from 1 species
ACGGAGGGUGCAAGCGUUAUUCGGAAUUACUGGGCGUAAAGCGCGUGUAGGCGGUCCUGCAAGUCUGAUGUGAAAGCCCCGGGCUUAACCCGGGAAGUGCAUUGGAAACUGCAGGUCUUGAGUACUGGAGAGGAUGGGGGAAUUCCCGGUGUAGAGGUGAAAUGCGUAGAGAUCUGGAGGAACAUCAGUGGCGAAGGCGACCAUCUGGUCGGUAACUGACGCUGAGACGCGAAAGCGUGGGGAGCAAACAG